rnacentral:pre_miRNA from 1 species
GGCCCGAUCUUGAGGCAGGAACUGAGUAGUUGGUGAACUCGCUCUAUGUUGUUCGUUCACUUGCUACACGGUUCCUGUCCCAAGAUCGAGUC